UAGAUUGCAUGAUGGGAACAAAUAGUUGUGUUCAUGUGUGUGUUCACCUAGGGUGAGGCUCAGCCAUUGCACCCCGGCUGUGCUGACCCUUACGAAUUCCCCAAAUGUGGGAAUCUCGACUGCAUAAUUUGUGGUAGUGGGGGACUGCGUGCGCGCUCUCCCCUG